UACGGAGGGGGUUAGCGUUGUUCGGAAUUACUGGGCGAAAAGCGCACGUAGGCGGACUAUUAAGUCAGGGGUGAAAUCCCGGGGCUCAACCCCGGAACUGCCCUUGAUACUGGCAGUCUAGAGUUCGAGAGAGGUGAGCGGAAUUCCGAGUGUAGAGGUGAAAUUCGUAGAUAUUCGGAGGAACACCAGUGGCGAAGGCGGCUCACUGGCUCGAUACUGACGCUGAGGUGCGAAAGUGUGGGGAGCAAACAGG
rnacentral:rRNA from 1 species